CACCACGCCCAGGCUCCACAGGUCAGAGGUCAGCGACACCGGCUCUCCAAGGACCAACUCUGGUGAGGCAAACUCGGGGCUGCCCAGCAGAGGGUGGACGUAGUGGGCACUGUUGAGCUGGACAGCAUCACCAAAGUCUGUGAAACAUCAUGCAAACACAUUUCAGUGUUAAAAGGAAAAAGAGCAAGUUUCCAUUUAAGGCUGGAAAUAGACUACGUGAACUUUGACCUACAUGAUGACCAACUCAAGAUCAGGACAAGGGCGUAGCUGCUGGGGGUUUCGUACGUGUCGAUCAGGCUGACUAUGUGGGGGUGUUGGAGCCUCUGGAGCAGAUUGAGUUCCUGAGUCACCCGAUCCCUCCUCAUCAGCUUCUUGUUCACCUGUUUGACCGCCACCAGACGUUUGGUGCCCCGCUGGUCACAACGCUUGACAACAGAGAAACGACCCCUGGCGCUGCUGAAGUGUCCAUUGUUGGUGAGGUUGCUCUGGUUGGGUCCCUUCCAGGUGACAGCGGCCCGGGGUCGACCACAGACCUUACACCUGAGGGUGACGCUCUCUCCGUUGUCACACGUCACAUCACUCAGAGCUUGGUGUCUUUCUUUGCCUCCUUCUCCUUCUUCUCAGACUUUUUGCGAAUGCGCAGGGUCGUGUGCCAGGAUGAAGACUUCCUACUGGGACAAAAAAAUGGAUCGAGUCAAAUCAACUGUUUAAAUGAGCAAAGUUCUUACUUCAUGGAUCCUUCGGGGCAAUCGGGGACGAUGGCAGAGGUGUGUCCCAGCACAAAUCCGGGGAUCCAGCCCUCGGCGGCGGGGCCCUGCUCUGUAGCCGCCCUGAACACCAGAAACAUGUUUUGCUGGUUG